rnacentral:rRNA from 1 species
UACAGAGGGUGCUAGCGUUGUUCGGAAUCAUUGGGCGUAAAGAGCGUGUAGGCGGUUCGGUAAGUCUGCCGUGAAAACCCAGGGCUCAACCCUGGGCGUGCGGUGGAUACUGCCGGGCUAGAGGGUGGUAGAGGCGAGUGGAAUUCCCGGUGUAGCGGUGAAAUGCGCAGAUAUCGGGAGGAACACCAGUAGCGAAGGCGGCUCGCUGGGCCAUACCUGACGCUGAGACGCGAAAGCGUGGGGAGCAAACAGG